rnacentral:tRNA from 1 species
GGCCGUGUAGCUCAGCUGGUAGAGCGUACGCGUGCAAAGCGUGCGCGGCGUCCUUGUGUGGAUUCUAAUCCCACCGAGGCUA